AUUGAACGCUGGCGGCAUGCCUUACACAUGCAAGUCGAACGGUAACGGGCCUUCGGGUGCCGACGAGUGGCGAACGGGUGAGUAAUGCAUCGGAACGUACCUUUCAGUGGGGGAUAACGUAGCGAAAGUUACGCUAAUACCGCAUAUUCUGUGAGCAGGAAAGCAGGGGAUCGCAAGACCUUGCGCUGAUUGAGCGGCCGAUGUCAGAUUAGCUAGUUGGUGAGGUAAAGGCUCACCAAGGCGACGAUCUGUAGCGGGUCUGAGAGGAUGAUCCGCCACACUGGAACUGAGAGACGGUCCAGACUCCUACAGGAGGCAGCAGUGGGGAAUUUUGGACAAUGGGGGCAACCCUGAUCCAGCCAUGCCGCGUGAGUGAGGAAGGCCUUCGGGUUGUAAAGCUCUUUCGGUCGGGAAGAAAUCGCAUGGGUUAAUACCCUGUGCGGAUGACGGUACCGGCAUAAGAAGCACCGGCUAACUACGUGCCAGCCGCCGCCGUAACAC
rnacentral:rRNA from 1 species